rnacentral:lncRNA from 1 species
GGGGGGCUUCGUCCUAAACGGCCCCCGGCUCGAAGCCCCGCAGGACCCGCACGUGGUGCCACGCGCAGGGAGGAGGAAGCAGGCAGCAAGGAGAGCGGCGCGCACGGGGGUCGUUUCUCCUCCCCUGGCCGCAGAGGAUCCGCUGCUGGGCGGUGACGCAGCCCGGGAGGAAGGGGACGAGGGGAAGAGAGGCCCUGGGCGCGGGACGUGCGCUGAGCGCAUCUCGAAGGGGAAGAAGCUUCAGGCCCGUGAGGAGACCGUUCAGAAUGAGGUGUACUCGGGACUUCCCGUAUUCCUCUUCUACGUCAAACCCACGCGGUGCCUGCCGGAGAUCACUUUCAAGGUGAAGUGUGCUGCGGGCUUUCUGGGGAGGCCGCACGGUCUGGGGGCACGGGGCCCGCCCAUACCUCAUGGGGAAAGGGCUGACAAAUCCUGCAGAGGCCAAAUCCGAGUGCGUGCUGUUGCUCUCUCCCCUCCUUGUGUCACUGUGCAGCGCCUCAGCCCUGUAGCAGGGCGCAGGGGCACGGCCUGUGGAGCACAACGAGGGGCUGGGGAUGGUUGCUUGCCCUCGGGGGGGGGGGGAUGAAAUCGGGAAAUGUUUGCCCACAGCUCUGGAAGUGGCCACAAGUGAACAGCCCCCGGGAUAUGGGGAGCGGGAUUGCCCCGUUACGGUGCCUUUGCUGCCUGGCUUUUCCCUUAGGUCCUGAGAACGCGGCCACGGAGCAGGGACACCCCGCGGCGUCUGAGCUGAGAAGUGCUUGGAGGAAGAGGAGAAGAGGAUGCAGAAGGGGAGGGAAGAGGAAGAGCUGGACAGUCCCGUGAAGGUGCUGAAGCCUGGCCUGCUGGUGUCCUGCUCCCUGCCCCCGUCUGUCCCUGUUUCACGCCCUGCUCCCUGUCCUUAUCGUCCCUCUCUCUUUCCCCUUCCCGAUUCCUUCUUUCACUGUCUCUCUCCUCCUCCCUCUCUUUCUCUCCCUGUCCUGCUGCCUCCCCUUUGAUUUCCCGCUAUAUCCCUGUCCACCUGGCUCUGCCCUGUUCCAUCUCUGCUUGUGUCCUGCUCCCUUUUCCUUAUUUUUUUUGCUUCCUGUGCCACAGGAGCUGCCCGCAGGAUGGACACACGAAAGCUGCUCCGGGCCUGACCCGGGGUGCCCCAAAAGAAGGGGCCAAGCCCUGCAGCAGCCUCCCCUCCUGGGAGGGAGUUAAAUG